rnacentral:lncRNA from 1 species
UAGUUCUGGUCUAAAUUUUAUUGGAGCAACCAAAGAAGCAGGCUAGGACAGGCAUGUCUUAGUUAUUCUUUGCUAUGUAACAACCCCCUUUGCAAGGCUCCAUGCUCUCAUGUUCCCAAGAGUCCUUCUUUCCAGUUGCUUCCUCUAGAACAGUGGUCCUCAACCUGUGGGUUGUGGACCCUUUGGAGGGCUCCAAUGACGUUUCACAGGGUUUCACCUUGUGAUGUCAGAGGCGGGCUUUGCUUUUCUGUUUCUCAGCGAGCCUAUUC